UAGGGAAUCUUCGGCAAUGGACGGAANNNUGGACCGAGCAACGCCGCGUGAGUNAAGAAGGUUUUCGGAUCGUAAAGCUCUGUUGUAAGAGAAGAACGAGUGUGAGAGUGGAAAGUUCACACUGUGACGGUAUCUUACCAGAAAGGGACGGCUAACUACGUGCCAGCAGCCGCGGUAAUACGUAGGUCCCGAGCGUUGUCCGGAUUUAUUGGGCGUAAAGCGAGCGCAGGCGGUUAGAUAAGUCUGAAGUUAAAGGCUGUGGCUUAACCAUAGUACGCUUUGGAAACUGUUUAACUUGAGUGCAAGAGGGGAGAGUGGAAUUCCAUGUGUAGCGGUGAAAUGCGUAGAUAUAUGGAGGAACACCGGUGGCGAAAGCGGCUCUCUGGCUUGUAACUGACGCUGAGGCUCGAAAGCGUGGGGAGCAAACAGGAUUAGAUACCCUGGUAGUCCACGCCGUAAACGAUGAGUGCUAGGUGUUAGACCCUUUCCGGGGUUUAGUGCCGCAGCUAACGCAUUAAGCACUCCGCCUGGGGAGUACGACCGCAAGGUUG
rnacentral:rRNA from 1 species